rnacentral:lncRNA from 1 species
CCCACACAGCAGGCUCUGCAGUGAAUUACUCUUUCUCUAUUGUAAUUCCCCUGUCUUGAUAUAUCAGCUGUGUCUAGGCAGCGGGCAAGGUGAACCCAUUGGGCAGUUACGCAGCUGCUGGAUGAACAAAUAAAUGUGUGGAAAAUGAAGAAAAACCGAGAGUCAAAGCUUACAGACUCUGCGAUGUGUCCUGGAUGCAAAGGCCACCUCCUGGAGUUUUUGCUACCUUUGCUUUUCAGCUGAAAGUAUUUUGGGAAGUCGAAGCUUGGAGAGAUUCUGUGAAUUGGUGAAGGACACAGAGCAAAGCCAGGAUUCAGAUUCAGACCUGCUUGACUCCAAGAUCAUUCCAGAAAUCUCCCUUUUCCUUUGGACCCUGUGACGUGACAGCUGGGUUCUUUCUGCUCUGAUUUCCAUGCCUGACAACCAUUUAAAUGGAAUACAAGAAUGCAGGUGCUGAUUCUUCUGAGCAAUUUUCAGAGGCCUCCUUUGCCUGCUUUCACCCAAGGGAAAUUUCUGGCCCUCAGACCACGCGUACUUGGCUCUCUGACAGUGUACCUGCACCCACCACCCUCAUGUUUUCUUAGGUUGAAAGAAAUUCACCCUUUAUCAAGAAUUAUUUAUAGUUCCUCUGGAGUGAGAGAGGAAGACAUUACCCACGCAGUGCUCUGUGGAAUCAUCUGAGCCACCACUUCUGCCUUGGGGACAUCAUCUGGGGAAGUAUCUAGAUCCUUUGGCUGAACAACGUGUUUUGAGGUCUUUAAUAUGUCACCUUAAGGAUGAGGCCUAGAGAACAUGGCCUUUUGUUGAACAGUUUGUAAGCUCUCAAAUGUGAGUAAAUGUGAGGAGGGUCUUGAGAGAUAUAGGAAGCUCAAGAAACCUAGCUAGAGUCUCUAGACUGUUGAGAAAAGUGGUGAGAAGAAAUUCCCAUUGUGGGGGAUGGGAGUGGUGGUUCAGGAGGAUUUUUGAGAAUGGGGAUAGAGAGCCUAGAAAUAAGGCCACACACCCAUGGCCAUCUGAUCUUCGACAAAGCAAGCAAUGAGUAAUGGACUCCUUGUUCAAUAAAUGGUGCCGGGUUGACUGAUUAGCCAUAUGCAGAAGAUUGAAACUGGACUCCUUCCUCACACCAUAUACAGAAAUCAACUCAAGAUGGAUUAAAGACUUAAAUGUAAAACCCAGAACUAUAAAAACUCUGGAAGACAACCUAGGCAAUACCACCCUGGAUAUAGGAACGGGCAAAGAUUUCAUGAUGAAGACACUAAAAGCAAUUGCAGCAAAAGCAAAAAUUGACAAAUGUGAUCUGAUUAAACCUAAGAGCUUCUGCACAGCAAAAGAAAUUAUCAACAGAGUAAACAGAGUAAACAACCUAUAGAAUAGGAGAAAAUAUUUGCAGACUAAGUAUCCAACAAAGGUCUCAUAUCCAGCAUCUAUAAGGAACUUAAACAAAUUUAUAAGAAAUAACUAACAAUUCCAACAAAAAGUGGGCAAAGUAUAUGAACAGACACUUUGCUAAAGUAGACAUAUAUGUGGCCAACAAGCAAAUGAAAAAAAGCUCAAUAUCAUGAUCAUUAGAGAAAUGCAAAUCAAAGCCACAAUAAGAUAUAUCAUCUCACACCAGUCAGAAUGGCUAUUAUUAAAAAGUCAAAAAAUAACCGAUGGCUGGUAAAGUUGCAGAGAAAAGGAAAUACUUAUACACUGUUAGUUGGAGUUUAAAUUAGUUCAACCAUUAUGGAAAGCAGUGUGGUGAUUCCUCAAAGAGCUAAAAACAGGACUACCAUUUGACCCAGCAAACCUAUUACUGGGUAUAUGCCCAGAGGAAUAGAAAUCAUUCUACCAUAAAAACAUGUGCAACAAAUGUUCAUUGUAGCACUAUCCAAAAUAGCAAAGACAUGGAAUCAACCUAAAUGUCCAUCAAUGACAGAUUGGAUAAAAAAUGUAGUACAUAGGUCCCAUGGAAUACUAUGCAACCAUAAGAAAGAACAAGAUCAUGUCUUUUGCAGGAACAUGAUGGAGCUGGAGGCCAUUAUCCUUAGCAAACUAAUGCAGAAACAGAAAACUAAAUAGUGCAUGCUCUUACUCAUAAGAGGGAGCUAAAUGAGGAGACAUCAUGAAUACAAAGAGGGGAACAACAGACACUGGGACCUCUUUGAGGGUGGAGGGUAGGAGGAGGGAGAGGAGCAGAAAAACAUUAAUCUUGUUGUACAGAUUAUUUUGUCACCCAGGUACUAAAUGUGGUACUAUUGGGUACCCUACCACUGUUUUAUCAAACAAGUUUCUGUAAUAGUAUAAAUCCUUUGUUGUCAUUACAACAAUGUUCAUGGCAUCUUCACCAGGAGUAAAUCUCAUCUCAAGAAACCACUUUUUUUGCUUAUCCAUAAGAAGCAACUCCUCAUCUAUUCAAAUUUGAUCAUGAGAUUGCAGCAAUCUGGUCACAUCUUCAGGUUCACUCUAAUUCAAGUUCUCUUGCUGUUUCUACCACAUCCACAGUUACUUCCUUCACUGAAAUUUUGAACCUGUCAAAAUUUGGUACCUUACUGUUGUGUACCAGGUUUAGUACCUGGGUGACAAAAUAAUCUGUACAACAGACCCCCCGUGAUACCAGUUAACCUAGGUAACAAACCUGCACAUGUACUCCUGAACCUGAAAU